GAUGAACGCUGGCGGCGUGCCUAAUACAUGCAAGUCGAGCGAACGGACGAGAAGCUUGCUUCUCUGAUGUUAGCGGCGGACGGGUGAGUAACACGUGGAUAACCUACCUAUAAGACUGGGAUAACUUCGGGAAACCGGAGCUAAUACCGGAUAAUAUUUUGAACCGCAUGGUUCAAAAGUGAAAGACGGUCUUGCUGUCACUUAUAGAUGGAUCCGCGCUGCAUUAGCUAGUUGGUAAGGUAACGGCUUACCAAGGCAACGAUGCAUAGCCGACCUGAGAGGGUGAUCGGCCACACUGGAACGGAGACACGGUCCAGACUCCUACGGGAGGCAGCAGUAGGGAAUCCUCCGCAAUGGGCGAAAGCCUGACGGAGCAACGCCGCGUGAGUGAUGAAGGUCUUCGGAUCGUAAAACUCUGUUAUUAGGGAAGAACAUAUGUGUAAGUAACUGUGCACAUCUUGACGGUAACUAAUCAGAAAGCCACGGCUAACUACGUG
rnacentral:rRNA from 1 species